UCCACUUUCUCCUGUAACCGACGAUAAUCAAAACUGCUUCUCUAUCUCCAUUUGGUUUUUCUACCCUUCCAUCAAAACAAACCGUUCCAACUCCCACUUCCUGAACAGAGAGCACAUAAUCCAUCACCAAAACAAACCACUCGCUUUCCUUUUUGAUUUUGAAUGUUACUGCUCCAAAUCUUAUUGAUGUAUUCAUAGACGGGCACUGUUUGUUCUUUCAGAAUUCUUAUUACAGAAAUUCAUAUAUUGCAGAGUGCCCACUAUACGCGCAUUAACUGUUUGUGGAAAUACGAACCACAAAUUCAUCACAAAUUAUCUCUCCACUGUUUUGGGAACCAUCAGUAACAUUGAGUCUAAGAUUCAGUUGCAGGGUUGAUUCUGUGGUUCUCUUUUAGUGUUGAGUCUAAGAUUCAGAUGUAAAGGCUGAAUUAACAUUCAAUUGACAAAUGGGGUGUGGAUGAACUACAACCAAGAUGGUAAUUGGUACUUUGGUUUACCUUAACAGUUCAAUGCUUGCAGGGUGAGUUUUAAGGUAAAUGGCAAGUGGUGGUCCUAUUGGGUGACUUCAAUAGGAGUUUCAAGGAUGGGGUCACGGGAUAUCUCUGCAAACCUACUCCAUAAGAGUUUCCACUGGCUAUGACCAAGUUUAUUAGCAUUCCUGGCAUGGGGAAGAAGCACAAAGGCAUGUCAGGGAAACAAUGCGAGCAAAAAAUACGCAACAAACUAUGUUUUCCACGAUAAGGUCUCCCCUCAUAGUGGUUGCCAGAAUGGUUGAGAUUAAUGUGACUCGCUACUAGAUCAUGAACAACGGGAAUCGUUGUAUUGAAAACUUCAAUUUUUGAGUUGAAGGGAUUUGAUAUAUGGUGAUCACUUAUGGGAGCACAAGAAAAGUAAUGGUCAUGCCACCAUAGUGCUUGUUCUAGGUGAAUUCUAUCUUCUCCAUGGUAGUGUCAAGCAUUAAACAUAAAUUACUUAUUCAGUUAACUAUAUUGAGCAGAAUCACACCCUUCCUGAUUAAGUCUGAAUUCUAUAUAUUACAUAUUUACUGUAAUAUUCUACUCUUCCUUUUGCUUCUUUUUUCAAGGCGUGGUUUGCACCAACAAUUAUUGACACAAAAUUAAUGCGUAGUCGCAUUCGUCUUUGUUAUGGUAUAAAUUUCCACCAAACACCAGAAACAACUUUCAAUUUCUCACACAUUUCUACUUUCGAUUUUCUUACAUUAAUCUUCUUGCUAAUGCUGGAGAUAAUGCUUUUUUGUUUUUGUUUUGUUUAUUUAGUUGCUGAUAAUUUUUCUCAACUUGACCUUAAGGUUAGUGGCUGUGGUGUCACUGAAAGAACUGCAAUGCUGGCAAGGUCUUAGGAGAGGUUUAUUAUUGGAUAUUUUUAGACAAGGCAGAUUUUGGCAAUUCAAAUUCAGAUACUUAGAGCUUUUAGGCACUUCAUCUUUUGGCAAGGCUUCAGUAAAGUUGGAAAUCAAGCUUUGGCAACUCAUAAAAUCAAUUUUGGCAAGGCUUCAGUUUCAUGGUGACGUGCCAAUCUUUGACAGUGUGGAAAUUCAGACAUUCUGCUCCAACUCUGGCAAUGGUGCAACUCUGUACAAAUUAAUGCCCACCCUCGGUGUGUUGGCACCAGUACGAACCACCACCAGAGCGAGAAGAUCAGUUUAGUGUUUAGUAGUUCAGUUGGUUUUUACUUUCCGUCUUAUUACAGGGAAAUUUGAGAUUUUUUUUUUCACUGUUGCUAAAAGGUUUAUCUAGAUUCUUGAGGAAAUGUGCUUGGUUAUGGAUUUUCUAUGGGCUUUAUUCUUUCGAAUCACAUUUGGUAAUUUGACAGACUAAUGAAUCAAUUAUCU